GUACUUACUUGGUAGGGGCGAUACCAUGAUCACGAAGGUGGUUUCCCCAGGGCAAGGCUCACCCAUUGCACUUCGGUGUUCUGAUCCCUGCGAUUUCCCCAAAUGUGGGAAACUCGACUGCAUAAUUUGUGGUAGUGGGGGACUGCGUGUGCAUUCUCCCCUG